rnacentral:rRNA from 1 species
UUGAACGCUGGCGGCAUGCCUUACACAUGCAAGUCGAACGGCAGCAUGGGUGCUUGCACCUGAUGGCGAGUGGCGAACGGGUGAGUAAUGCAUCGGAACGUGUCCAAUAAUGGGGGAUAACGAGUCGAAAGAUUCGCUAAUACCGCAUACGCCCUACGGGGGAAAGCAGGGGAUCGUAAGACCUUGCGUUAAUGGAGCGGCCGAUACCUGAUUAGCUAGUUGGUGAGGUAAAGGCUCACCAAGGCAACGAUCAGUAGCUGGUCUGAGAGGACGAUCAGCCACACUGGGACUGAGACACGGCCCAGACUCCUACGGGAGGCAGCAGUGGGGAAUUUUGGACAAUGGGGGCAACCCUGAUCCAGCAAUGCCGCGUGAGUGAAGAAGGCCUUCGGGUUGUAAAGCUCUUUUGUCAGGGAAGAAACAGCAGCUCUAACACAGUCUGCGAAUGACGGUACCUGAAGAAUAAGCACCGGCUAACUACGUG